CCCUUUGCCUGCUGUCCAGGGGGCAGGAGCAGUGGAAGGCCCAAUGGGUGGCCUUGGGGCAGACUUCCUCCUCUGAGACACUGGAGGUUUUCUUUCCUUUUUUUUGCUUCCCUGUUCAGAGAUUUCCCUUCCCCAGGCUGAGGUCAGGGCACCAUAAACAGGAGUGAUAAGGCUUUGGGCUUUCAAUCUGAACUUUGCAGCUGCCAUUUUAUGACUCCGAUAACUUCUCUCCUCACCCCCUGCCCCCACCAACUCCUCAGCUUCACUGGAGCAAGAUUGCCUAGUGCCCAUUCCAUGAGGGAGAGGGUGGAAGGAGAAGCAGACAGAGAAAUGGGAGUCUCUUACUCCAGCCCACUCUCAACCAAUUCUGACUUUCCCUUGCCCUGUGGACCCAGUCCUGGCCUGGGCUAUGAGGAACAUGGGAGAGUGAGACACCCCACUCCUGAUCCUGUGGGAUGGCAGAACAGCCCAGACUGGGAGGUCCUGCUCCAGUAGCAACUCCAGGCUCCUCAAGGCAUGGGGACCUGGGCUCCGAUGCUGGAUCUGCUGCUGAGACGUCAUCCCAUACGUAGCCACAGCGUCCCAGGGACACCUCUAGACCGGCACCACAAAGAGAGGACCCUCAGGAUCUCCCUCCCACCCGCAGUCUAUAAGAUCUUCCAUCUCAGUUCACCACGGCAUCGACCCUGCCACCACUGGUCUGCGUACUCCACGUACACCAUGCACU